rnacentral:rRNA from 1 species
UACGAAGGGUGCAAGCGUUACUCGGAAUUACUGGGCGUAGAGCGUGCGUAGGUGGUUUGUUAAGUCUGUUGUGAAAGCCCCGGGCUCAACCUGGGAAUGGCAAUGGAUACUGGCAGGCUAUAGUGCGGUAGAGGGUAGUGGAAUUCCCGGUGUAGCGGUGAAAUGCGUAGAGAUCGGGAGGAACACCAGUGGCGAAGGCGGCUACCUGGACCAGCACUGACACUGAGGCACGAAAGCGUGGGGAGCAAACAGG